GGGGCUAUAGCUCAUUUGGUAGAGCACUUACAUAGUGUACAUGAGGCCCUGGGUUUGAUCCCCAGUACCACCA
rnacentral:tRNA from 1 species